rnacentral:rRNA from 1 species
ACUGAGUGGCGGACGGGUGAGUAGCCCUGGGGUGACUUGCCCUGUACGGGGGGACCUGCUUUUGAAAUGACUGCUCAUACCCCAUAAUCGCGCAUGCACCGACAUGGAAUCUGUGCGAAUACACUCCGGAGGCACAGGAUGGGCUCGCGUCUGAUUAGUUAGUUGGCGAGGUAACGGCCCACCAAGACGACGAUCAGUAGCCGGCUUGAGAGAGUGAACGGCCACAUUGGGACUGAGACACGGCCCAAACUCCUACGGGAGGCAGCAGUGGGGAAUAUUGCACAAUGGGGGAAACCCUGAUGCAGCAACGCCGCGUGAGUGAAGAAGUAUUUCGGUAUGUAAAGUUCUAUCAGCAGGGAAGAAAAUGACGGUACCUGACUAAGAAGCCCCGGCUAACUACGUGCCAGCAGCCGCGGUAAUACGUAGGGGGCAAGCGUUAUCCGGAUUUACUGGGUGUAAAGGGAGCGCAGGCGGUGCGGCAAGUCAGAUGUGAAAACCCGGGGCUCAACCCCGGGAUUGCAUUUGAAACUGUUGGCCUAGAGUACCGGAGAGGUAAGUGGAAUUCCUAGUGUAGCGGUGGAAUGCGUAGAUAUCGGGAGGAACACCAGUGGCGAAGGCGACCUACUGGGCACCAACUGACGCUGAGGCUCGAAAGCAUGGGUAGCAAACAGGAUUAGAUACCCUGGUAGUCCAUGCCGUAAACGAUGAUUACUAGGUGUUGGAGGAUUGACCCCUUCAGUGCCGCAGUUAACACAAUAAGUAAUCCACCUGGGGAGUACGACCGCAAGGUUGAAACUCAAAGGAAUUGACGGGGGCCCGCACAAGCAGUGGAGUAUGUGGUUUAAUUCGAAGCAACGCGAAGAACCUUACCAGGUCUUGACAUCCGAUGCAUAGUGCAGAGAUGCAUGAAGUCCUUCGGGACAUCGAGACAGGUGGUGCAUGGUUGUCGUCAGCUCGUGUCGUGAGAUGUUGGGUUAAGUCCCGCAACGAGCGCAACCCUUAUUGCCAGUUACUACGAAAGAGGACUCUGGCGAGACUGCCGUUGACAAAACGGAGGAAGGUGGGGAUGACGUCAAAUCAUCAUGCCCUUUAUGACCUGGGCUACACACGUACUACAAUGGCGUUUAACAAAGAGAAGCAAGACCGCGAGGUGGAGCAAAACUCAAAAACAACGUCUCAGUUCAGAUUGCAGGCUGCAACUCGCCUGCAUGAAGUCGGAAUUGCUAGUAAUCGCGGAUCAGCAUGCCGCGGUGAAUACGUUCCCGGGCCUUGUACACACCGCCCGUCA